UACGGGGGGGGGCAAGCGUUGUUCGGAAUUACUGGGCGUAAAGGGCGCGUAGGCGGUCUUGUAAGUCUCGUGUGAAAUCCCUCGGCUUAACUGAGGAACUGCACGGGAUACUGCAUGACUUGAGAUCGGGAGAGGGAAGCGGAAUUCCGGGUGUAGCGGUGAAAUGCGUAGAUAUCCGGAGGAACACCAGUGGCGAAGGCGGCUUCCUGGACCGACACUGACGCUGAGGCGGCGAAAAGCUAGGGGAGCAAACGGG
rnacentral:rRNA from 1 species